GACGAACGCUGGCGGCGUGCUUAACACAUGCAAGUCGAACGAUGAAGCCUAGCUUGCUAGGUGGAUUAGUGGCGAACGGGUGAGUAAUACGUGAGUAACCUACCUUUAACUCUGGGAUAAGCCUGGGAAACUGGGUCUAAUACCGGAUACGACCAAUCUCCGCAUGGGGUGUUGGUGGGAAGCGUUAUGUAGUGGUUAUAGAUGGGCUCACGGCCUAUCAGCUUGUUGGUGAGGUAACGGCUCACCAAGGCGACGACGGGUAGCCGGCCUGAGAGGGUGACCGGCCACACUGGGACUGAGACACGGCCCAGACUCCUACGGGAGGCAGCAGUGGGAAAUAUUGCACAAUGGGCGCAAGCCUGAUGCAGCGACGCCGCGUGAGGGAUGACGGCCUUCGGGUUGUAAACCUCUGUUAGCAGGGAAGAAGAGAGAUUGACGGUACCUGCAGAGAAAGCGCCGGCUAACUACGUGCCAGCAGCCGCGGUAAUACGUAGGGCGCUAGCGUUGUCGGGAAUUAUUGGGCGUAAAGAGCUUGUAGGCGGUUUGUCGCGUCUGCUGUGAAGGCCGGAGCUUAACUCCGUGUAUUGCAGUGGGUACGGGCAGACUAGAGUGCAGUAGGGGAGACUGGAAUUCCUGGUGUAGCGGUGGAAUGCGCAGAUAUCAGGAGGAACACCGAUGGCGAAGGCGGGUCUCUGGGCUGUAACUGACGCUGAGAAGCGAAAGCAUGGGGAGCGAACAGGAUUAGAUACCCUGGUAGUCCAUGCCGUAAACGUUGGGCACUAGGUGUGGGGAACAUUCCACGUUUUCCGCGCCGUAGCUAACGCAUUAAGUGCCCCGCCUGGGGAGUACGGCCGCAAGGCUAAAACUCAAAGAAAUUGACGGGGGCCCGCACGAGCGGCGGAGCAUGCGGAUUAAUUCGAUGCAACGCGAAGAACCUUACCAAGGCUUGACAUAUACUGGAUCGCAUCAGAGAUGGUGUUUCCCUUCGGGGCUGGUAUACAGGUGGUGCAUGGUUGUCGUCAGCUCGUGUCGUGAGAUGUUGGGUUAAGUCCCGCAACGAGCGCAACCCUCGUUCUAUGUUGCCAGCACGUUAUGGUGGGGACUCAUAGGAGACUGCCGGGGUCAACUCGGAGGAAGGUGGGGAUGACGUCAAAUCAUCAUGCCCCUUAUGUCUUGGGCUUCACGCAUGCUACAAUGGCCGGUACAGAGGGUUGCGAUACUGUGAGGUGGAGCUAAUCCCUAAAAGCCGGUCUCAGUUCGGAUUGGGGUCUGCAACUCGACCCCAUGAAGUCGGAGUCGCUAGUAAUCGCAGAUCAGCAACGCUGCGGUGAAUACGUUCCCGGGCCU
rnacentral:rRNA from 1 species